rnacentral:rRNA from 1 species
AUGUCUUCUCUUCCUGGACUUGUCAGUGCGAAGCGUCCUGUUGGCUCCCGUUUGUUUACUCUGCCAGGGAUGGUUAACCACUGCCGUGCACAAUAUGCUCACGGCCGCUUCUACUUCGUAUCUAAUAUCAAUAGAUGGGAAACGCUGGUUCUUGACCCCAUGACAAUGGAGUUUUCUACUAUUGAUGGCCCUCCCAUGGACAGAGUUUGUGAUGAAGACAUAUGUAUCGUGGAGGCAGAUGAAGGCAGUCUCGGGAUGUUUCUAACGUACCAAGACUAUGACAGAAGCAUGAUCAUUUAUUGGCAAAGUGAAGGUGAUAUUUCCGGACCAUGGCGCGAAGAGAAAAGAAUUGUUGUAGGUGACAUGUGUAGAGUUUUUUCUUCCGAAGGGAGACAUGUAUUUGGACAUGAUACUAUUGCAUGUUUCUCAUUGGAUGCCAAAGCAUUGGAGCUCGAGAGGGUAUGUUACAUGAUUCUGGAUGAGGCGUACCCAUAUAGCAAUCUUCCACUACCGUACGCAUUACCCACCGUAGCAUCAGGCCCCAAAGAGACGCAGCAGACCAGAACGAUUGCUGAGGAGAUGGAGGACGCUCAGGAGAUGGAGGAUGACGAGUACCUGUUCUAG